CAGUCGCCACGGUAAUACGAAGGGGGCUAGCGUUGUUCGGAAUUACUGGGCGUAAAGCGCACGUAGGCGGAUAUUUAAGUCAGGGGUGAAAUCCCGCAGCUCAACUGCGGAACUGCCUUUGAUACUGGGUAUCUUGAGUAUGGAAGAGGUUAGUGGAAUUGCGAGUGUAGAGGUGAAAUUCGUAGAUAUUCGCAGGAACACCAGUGGCGAAGGCGGCUAACUGGUCCAUAACUGACGCUGAGGUGCGAAAGCGUGGGGAGCAAACAGGAUUAGAUACCCGCGUAGUCCCUGUCUCUUAUAC
rnacentral:rRNA from 1 species